GAAAAGAAACUAGAAAAGAAGAAAAAAAAAUGAAAUUUAAAGCAUAGGUGGGUGAUCUUUGUGUUUAAAUGGAUAUCCAUAUUUUACCCAUUUUGUCCAUAUUUAAAAUGAGUUGAAGUCCAUAUAUACCCAUUUGAAAUAUAAGUGAUCCAAUUCAAUAAAUAUAGGUUAAAUGAACUCUUUUCACAAAUAUAAACUAAAAUUAUCGCCUCUACGGGGCCUAGGGGAAGUAUAAGUGUCGGUGAGAUUGGCCAUUCUGGUAUCAAAAAGUCAAUUCCUGGUCACCAGACAGCAAAGGCUAAUCCACCAACUUGCCCAAAGUUACAAAUAAAAUUUCCAAGCAGAGGACCGUCUGGAAUUCAGCUUGUUGAGCCUCAAUAUAGACUGUUUGUUGAAGUUAGUGACAGCUCAAAGGUUCUUUGACACGAUAGUGGCAUGAGAGGCUGCUGGUUCAGGUGUACGGUCUUACAGGUAUCAGAAAAAACAUCUGAAAUUUCAAUAUGAUGACAUCCAGGAUUAUGACGGUUCUGAAAAGCUCGAGGUACCUUGAUCACUGCAACUAUAACGUAUGAUCUACUUACAUAUAUUGAGUAGUCCUUUCUCCCUUCACCCUAUUUCGUCAUAACCUUUGGCUAACUUAUAGGAAUGGAUUUCUUCGUACAGUGUUACAGGCCCUGAUAAAUAGGGCAUGAGAUGCACAGGUUUACUUCAGACCCAGCCUCUAGCGGAUUCUUAUAACUAUUUCUUUGAAGUAGGAGCUGUAGUAGAAGCUUAGUCGUCUAACGGGUGGUGGGAAAGUGUUGUUGCUGGAUUUGAUGUCUAUGGAAGCGGUCAUCUUCAGGUGAGAAUAGAUUAUUGGAGAUUCCAAGAUGAACGUGAGGACUUAAAGAGAUUGUAUAUGUGACAAAUGGGUUGAAGUCGAUGGAAAGAAAGACAUAAAAUCGUUCAUAUGCUCGAGUUUAACUGAUGUAUCCAAGUGCAGUAUUAAUAAGCUUGGGAACUGCAAAAACCAGAUGGCUCCCGUGCUUGUGGCAGCUGAAGACAAUAAAUGGCGUCAACUUCUAAACACCCAACGGAGAAGCAAGACACUAAUGUGCUUAAACUAGAAAAACGAUGGUGUAUUGAUUUUCUUGCAGGAAACAAUUGUUGGGUUCAAAGUGUGUAUGAAGUGUGAAUGAAAAAUGGAAAAUGGUGGAGGAAAAAAGACACCCAAUUUAGAAAGUGUACUCCAAAUUGGAAAGUUCCCUAAUUCUCCCACAUUGGUGGGAGAAGGGAACUUUGGAGUGUUUAUAAUAAGUACACUUAUUCCACAUGGUAAGUGAUGCAAAAAAUAAGAGAUGCCUCGCGCUGUUGUCUCUCGGCUCGUCUUCGGAUUUGGAUUUGGCAAAUGAUCGAUCGAUGAGAUCUAUCUUUUUUGGACAAAGUUUAUUUGACGGAAAUAAAGAAAAAAUGCAGUAAAAUAUUUUCUGGUAUUGGUACUCCA